rnacentral:Y_RNA from 1 species
GCGACGAAUGCUGAUGGAACUACAUCCCAGAUUCGUGAUGCGGGUUCGAGUCCCGCCGGUGCCUGGAAAGGCGCCGUAGUUCAACGGUCAGAACACGAGUGCACUGUUUCAUCGACCCUUGUCGUCGCAGG